rnacentral:rRNA from 1 species
AUUGAACGCUGGCGGCAUGCUUUACACAUGCAAGUCGAACGGUAACAGGGUGCUUGCACCGCUGACGAGUGGCGAACGGGUGAGUAAUGCGUCGGAACGUGCCGAGUAGUGGGGGAUAACGCAGCGAAAGUUGUUCUAAUACCGCAUACGUACUGAGGUAGAAAGUGGGGGACCUUCGGGCCUCACGCUAUUCGAGCGGCCGACGGCUGAUUAGCUAGUAGGUGAGGUAAAGGCUCACCUAGGCGACGAUCAGUAGCGGGUCUGAGAGGAUGAUCCGCCACACUGGGACUGAGACACGGCCCAGACUCCUACGGGAGGCAGCAGUGGGGAAUUUUGGACAAUGGGCGAAAGCCUGAUCCAGCCAUGCCGCGUGUCUGAAGAAGGCCUUCGGGUUGUAAAGGACUUUUGUCAGGGAGGAAAUCCCUAGUGCUAAUAACACUGGGGGAUGACAGUACCUGAAGAAUAAGCACCGGCUAACUACGUGCCAGCAGCCGCCGUAA